UACCUUGACGGUCACUCUGCCUGCUA
rnacentral:piRNA from 1 species